GCUCGUUCUAGGUACUUUUCUUUUUUCCGAUUCUCUCUUUAUUUUAACGUCGAUGCCCUUUCUCUCCUUCCUGGUUUCUGUAACCGUGCUGAAACGAAAUAAAUUUUCUGACCUCGGAUCAUUGUUUUCCUGUUUGUUUGUCGGUAAAUUAUCAGGAAAUCGCUUUCCUUUUCCGUUCUCUUGGCUUUUGUUUGAUCAUUUGCUCCUAAUGAAUGAUCAUCCUUUCUUUUCAGGUCUAUUCAUCUACCAAAAUUCGAAGGUUAAUGGCUCACUUUCACAAUGAUGAUCUCGAAUACGUUGGCGAUGAUUAUUACGACAUCGUUGAUUUCGAAGAUAACCCUCUCCUCGAACACGAACCUCGAAGAGACGCCGAUUUGGAUUCCAUAGACUCGGACUUUGAAGACGAUCCAGAGUCGAGUAAACCAAAGACUGAUACCUCUGCUUUGGAGGCUAGAAAUGGGAAGGACAUACAGGGAAUUCCCUGGGAGAGACUUAAUUUCACUAGAGAUAAUUACCGCGAGACUAGAUUAAAGCAGUACAGGAACUACGAGAACCUCUCUCGCUC
rnacentral:misc_RNA from 1 species